rnacentral:rRNA from 1 species
GACGAACGCUGGCGGCGCGCCUAACACAUGCAAGUCGAACGGAGCUGAGAGAAGCUUGCUUUUCUUAGCUUAGUGGCGAACGGGUGAGUAACGCGUGAGUAACCUGCCCUGGAGUGGGGGACAAAAGUUGGAAACGACUGCUAAUACCGCAUAAGCCCACGAUCCGGCAUCGGAUUGAGGGAAAAGGAUUUAUUCGCUUCAGGAUGGACUCGCGUCCAAUUAGCUAGUUGGUGAGGUAACGGCCCACCAAGGCGACGAUUGGUAGCCGGACUGAGAGGUUGAACGGCCACAUUGGGACUGAGACACGGCCCAGACUCCUACGGGAGGCAGCAGUGGGGGAUAUUGCACAAUGGGGGAAACCCUGAUGCAGCGACGCCGCGUGGAGGAAGAAGGUUUUCGGAUUGUAAACUCCUGUCGUUAGGGACGAUAAUGACGGUACCUAACAAGAAAGCACCGGCUAACUACGUG